AUAAUCCGUACGGGUCGUGAGAGCGAUAGCCCGGAGAUGGCUUCUGAGACAUGAAACCAGGCCCUACGGGGCGCAGCAGGCGCGAAAACUUCGCAAUGCAUGAAAGUGUGACGAGGGAAUCCUGAGUGGCAUCGCAAAUGCGGUGUCUUUUGUGUACUGUAAAUAGGUAUAUGAAUAAGAGGUGGGUAAGACGGUUGCCAGCCGCCGCGGUAAUAACCGCGCCUCAAGUGGUAGUCACGUUUAUUGGGCCUAAAGCGUCCGUAGCCGGUUUGAUAAGUUUCUGGUGAAAUCCACUAGUAGACUAGUGGAACUGCUGGAAAUACUAUCAGGCUUGAGACCGGGAGAGGUUGGGAGUAUUCCACGGGUAAGAGUAAAAUCUUUUAAUCCGUGGAGGACUACCUGUGGCGAAGGCGCCCAUCUGGAACGGGUCUGACGGUGAGGGACGAAAGCGUGGGGAGCGACCGGGAUUAGAUACCCCGUUAGUCCACGCUGUAAACGAUGCCCUCUUGGUGUCGCACAAUCUUCGAGAUUCUGCGGUGCCGAAGCGAAGGUGUUAAGAGGGCCGCCUGGGGAGUACGACCGCAAGGUUGAAACUUAAGGGAAUUGGCGGGGGAGCACUACCAGGGGUGGAGGCUGCGGUUUAAUUGGAGUCAACGCCG
rnacentral:rRNA from 1 species